rnacentral:rRNA from 1 species
AACUCCUACGGGAGGCAGCAGUGGGGAAUAUUGGACAAUGGGCGAAAGCCUGAUCCAGCAAUGCCGCGUGAGUGAUGAAGGCCUUAGGGUUGUAAAGCUCUUUUACCAGGGAUGAUAAUGACAGUACCUGGAGAAUAAGCUCCGGCUAACUCCGUGCCAGCAGCCGCGGUAAUACGGAGGGAGCUAGCGUUGUUCGGAAUUACUGGGCGUAAAGCGCGCGUAGGCGAUGAUUCAAGUCAGAGGUGAAAGCCCGGGGCUCAACCCCGGAACUGCCUUUGAAACUAGAUUGCUAGAAUCUUGGAGAGGUCAGUGGAAUUCCGAGUGUAGAGGUGAAAUUCGUAGAUAUUCGGAAGAACACCAGUGGCGAAGGCGACUGACUGGACAAAGGUUAUUG